CCUACGGGAGGCAGCAGUGAGGAAUAUUGGUCAAUGGACGAGAGUCUGAACCAGCCAAGUAGCGUGAAGGAUGACUGCCCUAUGGGUUGUAACCUUCUUUUAUAAAGGAAUAAAACGAGGCACGUGUGCCUUUUUGCAUGUACUUUAUGAAUAAGGAUCGGCUAACUCCGUGCCAGCAGCCGCGGUAAUACGGAGGAUCCGAGCGUUAUCCGGAUUUAUUGGGUUUAAAGGGAGCGUAGAUGGGUUGUUAAGUCAGUUGUGAAAGUUUGCGGCUCAACCGUAAAAUUGCAAUUGAUACUGGCAGUCUUGAGUACAGUUGAGGUAGGCGGAAUUCGUGGUGUAGCGGUGAAAUGCGUAGAUAUCACGAAGAACCCAGAUUGCGAAGGCAGCUUACUAAACUGUGACUGACAUUGAUGCUCGAAAGUGUGGGUAUCAAACAGGAUUAGAUACCCGGGUAGUC
rnacentral:rRNA from 1 species